ACACUCCUACGGGAGGCAGCAGUGGGGAAUAUUGGACAAUGGGCGCAAGCCUGAUCCAGCCAUGCCGCGUGAGUGAUGAAGGCCCUAGGGUUGUAAAGCUCUUUCACCGGAGAAGAUAAUGACGGUAUCCGGAGAAGAAGCCCCGGCUAACUUCGUGCCAGCAGCCGCGGUAAUACGAAGGGGGCUAGCGUUGUUCGGAAUUACUGGGCGUAAAGCGCACGUAGGCGGAUCGAUCAGUCAGGGGUGAAAUCCCAGGGCUCAACCCUGGAACUGCCUUUGAUACUGUCGAUCUGGAGUAUGGAAGAGGUGAGUGGAAUUCCGAGUGUAGAGGUGAAAUUCGUAGAUAUUCGGAGGAACACCAGUGGCGAAGGCGGCUCACUGGUCCAUUACUGACGCUGAGGUGCGAAAGCGUGGGGAGCAAACAGGAUUAGAUACCCGAGUAGUCCCA
rnacentral:rRNA from 1 species